UCAGCGUUAUGGUGUCCGGCUUAGGGUCGGAAUAAUAGGGAAGAGGAGUUAAAUUCUCCCGCGGUGCCGCCGCUGUGAAGGUUUUUGAAACGUUUGAAACGCCACUGUAAGUUUUAUGGGAAGGCUUAACGUUUUGUAUAAAGCCGAAGCCAGAAGACCUGCCGUUUCGCU
rnacentral:ncRNA from 1 species